rnacentral:ncRNA from 1 species
CUAUGAGCGUUGAAAAGGAAGAGUAGAAACAGAAAGCAGCGUGCAGAGAGCCGUUCCCCGUGCUGAAAGAAUGGCCGCCAGCCUGUUUUGAAAAUCACCUUGGAGCAUUGUCCUGGAAAAUCAGCUUGUGUAGCCAGUGAGUAUAGGACAACGAAUUCGUCCUCGUUAUCGGACGGGAGUUUCAUAGUGAACUGCCAAAGUCUGUUUUUCGUGAGGAAGACAGAGAAGCUGAGUGGUACCGCGAUGCCCUCGCCUCAGCC